GACGAACGCUGGCGGCGUGCUUAACACAUGCAAGUCGAGCGGAAAGGCCCUUUCGGGGGUACUCGAGCGGCGAACGGGUGAGUAUCACGUGAGUAAUCUGCCCUUCACUUCGGGAUAGCUUCGGGAAACCGAGAUUAAUACCGGAUACGACGCAGUCCCGCAUGGGAUCUGUGUGGAAAGAUUUUUUGGUGGGGGAUGUGCUCGCGGCCUAUCAGCUUGUUGGUGGGGUAAUGGCCUACCAAGGCUUCGACGGGUAGCCGGCCUGAGAGGGUGACCGGCCACACUGGGACUGAGACACGGCCCAGACUCCUACGGGAGGCAGCAGUGGGGAAUAUUGGACAAUGGGCGGAAGCCUGAUCCAGCAACGCCGCGUGAGGGAUGACGGCCUUCGGGUUGUAAACCUCUUUCACCACCGACGAAGCGCAAGUGACGGUAGGUGGGGAAGAAGCACCGGCCAACUACGUGCCAGCCGCCGCAGUAAAAC
rnacentral:rRNA from 1 species